GGGGGCAACCCUGGCGGCGAGCGGCGAACGGGUGAGUAACAUAUCGGAACGUACCCCGUCGUGGGGGAUAACACAGCGAAAGCUGUGCUAAUACCGCAUACGACCUGAGGGUGAAAGCGGGGGACCGUAAGGCCUCGCGUGAUGGGAGCGGCCGAUAUCGGAUUAGCUUGUUGGUGAGGUAAAGGCUCACCAAGGCGACGAUCCGUAGCUGGUCUGAGAGGACGACCAGCCACACUGGAACUGAGACACGGUCCAGACUCCUACGGGAGGCAGCAGUGGGGAAUUUUGGACAAUGGGGGCAACCCUGAUCCAGCCAUUCCGCGUGAGUGAAGAAGGCCUUCGGGUUGUAAAGCUCUUUCAGCAGGAACGAAACGGUGGCCCCUAAUACGGGCUACUAAUGACGGUACCUGAAGAAGAAGCACCGGCUAACUACGUGCCAGCAGCCGCGGUAAUACGUAGGGUGCGAGCGUUAAUCGGAAUUACUGGGCGUAAAGCGUGCGCAGGCGGUUCUAUAAGACAGAUGUGAAAUCCCCGGGCUUAACCUGGGAACUGCGUUUGUGACUGUAGGACUCGAGUGUGGCAGAGGGGGGUGGAAUUCCACGUGUAGCAGUGAAAUGCGUAGAGAUGUGGAGGAACACCGAUGGCGAAGGCAGCCCCCUGGGUCAACACUGACGCUCAUGCACGAAAGCGUGGGGAGCAAACAGGAUUAGAUACCCUGGUAGUCCACGCCCUAAACGAUGCGAACUAGGUGUUGGGGAAGGAGACUUUCUUAGUACCGCAGCUAACGCGUGAAGUUCGCCGCCUGGGGAGUACGGUCGCAAGAUUAAAACUCAAAGGAAUUGACGGGGACCCGCACAAGCGGUGGAUGAUGUGGAUUAAUUCGAUGCAACGCGAAAAACCUUACCUACCCUUGACAUGUCAGGAAGUCUGCUGAGAGGUGGAUGUGCCCGAAAGGGAACCUGAACACAGGUGCUGCAUGGCUGUCGUCAGCCCGUGUCGUGAGAUGUUGGGUUAUGUCCCGCAACGAGCGCAACCCUUGUCAUUAAUUGCCAUCAUUCAGUUGGGCACUUUAAUGAGACUGCCGGUGACAAACCGGAGGAAGGUGGGGAUGACGUCAAGUCCUCAUGGCCCUUAUGGGUAGGGCUUCACACGUCAUACAAUGGUCGGUACAGAGGGUCGCCAACCCGCGAGGGGGAGCCAAUCCCACAAAGCCGAUCGUAGUCCGGAUCGCAGUCUGCAACUCGACUGCGUGAAGUCGGAAUCGCUAGUAAUCGUGGAUCAGCAUGUCACGGUGAAUACGUUCCCGGGUCUUGUAG
rnacentral:rRNA from 1 species